rnacentral:ncRNA from 1 species
GGAAGCCGGGUUACGGUGCCCAACUGCGCGCUAACCUAGAACCCACAAAGGGUGUUGGUCGAUUAAGACAGCAGGACGGUGGUCAUGGAAGUCGAAAUCCGCUAAGGAGUGUGUAACAACUCACCUGCCGAAUCAACUAGCCCCNNNNNNGGAUGGCGCUGAAGCGCGCGACCCCCCCCCGGCCAUCUGGGCGAGCGCCAUGCCCCGAUGAGUAGGAGGGCGCGGCGGCCGCUGCAAAACCCGGGGCGCGAGCCCGGGCGGAG